rnacentral:rRNA from 1 species
GGCGGACGGGUGAGUAACGCGUAAGAACUUGCCCUUUAGACUGGGAUAACAGAGGGAAACUUCUGAUAAUACUGGAUAAGUUAGUAUAUCGCAUGAUAUGCAAAUGAAAGCUACGGCACUAAAGGAGAGCUUUGCGUCCUAUUAGCUAGUUGGUAAGGUAAGAGCUUACCAAGGCGAUGAUAGGUAGCCGGCCUGAGAGGGUGGACGGCCACAAGGGGACUGAGAUACGGCCCUUACUCCUACGGGAGGCAGCAGCA